rnacentral:lncRNA from 1 species
GAACAGAAGCGGAAACUCGGAGAGAAAUCUGUGGACUGCUAGCAAUGAGAUAGAAGCAGGAGCUGAUGAAAGCUUUGAGGUCUUCUCCUCAGGGAGAAGCAGCAUGUCCUUCAGAGGUUACUGUGCCGGUUCUUGUAAGUAGCGUGUUGGAGCUGACUGACUUUUCUGAAUGAAAAGGCUCUCUCUCAGAGGAGUGGGAUUUAAGGAUGUGGUUUGGAGAAUUGUCGGGAUCCUUUUGGGCACCUGCCAGGGGAAGAGGAUGUGGAGAGCUCUUUGCAGUCUUCCCAGGAUGUCCUUUUGGAGGCUGGUAAGACCAGAGCAAGCAAACAGAACAGACCCUUGCUGCCAGAUGAGCUGAUUAUCCCACUUCUCCAUUUUUUGGUUUUUAUAAACCUGCAUUUUACUAGGGCAGAAAGUGGCAGCAUUGAGGCAAUCUCUGCACCGUUGCCUCUAUGGCUUUUCUGGACACCAUGGGAUCAACUUGGGCAACAGCAGCAAAUGUGCUGAGGGCUGGGAAGGCAUUGACCAGUGCACACAGUCAGGCCUGAGUCAUGCUUAUGGGACAAAUCUGGUGUCAUUUGUAGCUGUGUUCCUCAAACCUUGUGCUCUCCUUCAUCCUCUUCCAAAAUAAAAGCAAAGUUUAUCCAAAUGGGGAGAUGGUG